rnacentral:rRNA from 1 species
CCACGGGAGGCUGCAGUGGGGAAUAUUGGACAAUGGGCGAAAGCCUGAUCCAGCCAUGCCGCGUGUGUGAAGAAGGCCUUCGGGUUGUAAAGCACUUUCAGUGGGGAAGAAAGCCUUGGGGCUAAUACCCUCGAGGAAGGACAUCACCCACAGAAGAAGCACCGGCUAACUCCGUGCCAGCAGCCGCGGUAAUACGGAGGGUGCGAGCGUUAAUCGGAAUUACUGGGCGUAAAGCGCGCGUAGGCGGUCUGAUAAGCCGGUUGUGAAAGCCCCGGGCUCAACCUGGGAACGGCAUCCGGAACUGUCAGGCUAGAGUGCAGGAGAGGAAGGUAGAAUUCCCGGUGUAGCGGUGAAAUGCGUAGAGAUCGGGAGGAAUACCAGUGGCGAAGGCGGCCUUCUGGACUGACACUGACGCUGAGGUGCGAAAGCGUGGGUAGCAAACAGGAUUAGAUACCCGAGUAGUC